rnacentral:SRP_RNA from 9 species
GCCGGGCGUGGUGGCGGGUGCCUGUAGUCCCAGCUAGUCGGGAGGCUGAGGCAGGAGAAUGGUGUGAACCCAGAAGGCAGAGCUUGCAGUGAGCCGAGAUCGCGCCACUGCACUCCAGCCUGGGCGACAGAGCAAGACUCCAU